AUUGAACGCUAGCGGGAUGCUUUACACAUGCAAGUCGAACGAGUGGAGGAGGGGUGAGUAAUAUAUCGGAACGUGCCCAGUCGCGGGGGAUAACUACUCGAAAGAGUGGCUAAUACCGCAUAAUAUUUGAGCGGCCGGUCUCGGAUUAGUUAGUGGGUGGGGUAAAGGCUCACCAGGGCAACGAUCCGUAGGUGGUUUGAGAGGACGACCAGCCACACUGGGACUGAGACACGGCCCAGACUCCUACGGGAGGCAGCAGUGGGGAAUUUUGGACAAUGGGGGAAAACCUGAUCCAGCCAUCCCGCGUGUAUGAGAAGGCCUUCGGGUUGUAAAGUACUUUUGGCAGAGAAGCGGUAUCUGCAGAAUAAGCACCGGCUAACUACGUGCCAGCAGCCGCGGUAAUUC
rnacentral:rRNA from 1 species